rnacentral:rRNA from 1 species
UAGGGAAUCUUCGGCAAUGGGGGCAACCCUGACCGAGCAACGCCGCGUGAGUGAAGAAGGUUUUCGGAUCGUAAAGCUCUGUUGUAAGAGAAGAACGUGUGUGAGAGUGGAAAGUUCACUACAGUGACGGUAACUUACCAGAAAGGGACGGCUAACUACGUGUCAG